rnacentral:rRNA from 1 species
UACAGCUCUUUGGAAUAGGAUACAACCUUAAUUAGAGAGUAAGCAUGAAUAAACAACCAUAGUUGGCCUAAAAGCAGCCAUCAAUUAAGAAAGCGUUCAAGCUCAACAAAUCUUACACUCAGCUUAAUGUAAAAAAUAUCCACAAACUCCUAAUACCAAACUGGACCAAUCUAUAUCAAUAUAGAAGCAAUACUGUUAAUAUGAGUAACAAGAUUUAAAUCUCCCAGCACAAGUAUAUAUCAGAACAAAUACUUAACUGAUAGUUAACGGCUAAAUAAACAAAAUCUAUUAUAAAACAUUUAUUUCCCCACCGUUAACCCAACACAGGAGUGCAUCAAGGAAAGAUUAAAAGAAGUAAAAGGAACUCGGCAAACACAAACCCCGCCUGUUUACCAAAAACAUCACCUCUAGCAUUACUAGUAUUAGAGGCACUGCCUGCCCAGUGACAACUGUUUAACGGCCGCGGUAUCCUGACCGUGCAAAGGUAGCAUAAUCAUUUGUUCCUUAAAUAGGGACUUGUAUGAAUGGCCACACGAGGGUUUAACUGUCUCUUACUUCCAAUCAGUGAAAUUGACCUUUCCGUGAAGAGGCGGAAAUACACCAAUUAGACGAGAAGACCCUAUGGAGCUUUAAUUCAUCUACUCCAAUAGAAUGACCAAUUACCCGUACAGGAAUAACACUUAAUUCUAACUGGAUAGAAAAUUUCGGUUGGGGUGACCUCGGAGCAUAAACCAACCUCCGAGAAUUCUUACUAAGACUAACAAGUCAAAGUACAACUGUAAUAAUUGAUCCAGUCUAACUGAUCAACGGAACAAGUUACCCUAGGGAUAACAGCGCAAUCCUAUUCUAGAGUCCCUAUCGACAAUAGGGUUUACGACCUCGAUGU